rnacentral:tRNA from 1 species
UUUUUUGUAAUAUAAUUAUUAUCUUUACCUUCCAAGUAGAUUAUCUCGCAAGAGCUUAAAAA